CCAGCCUAAGUCUGACGUCACGAAAUUGGAAGGAGCUUGAAGCUUAAAAGUUACAAAACUAAGGUUAUGUUUGUUUGUAUCGUUGUCGUUUGUUUGUCCUAGUCACGUCUUAGUAUUUUGCCUAUUUUGGAUUCAUUUGGAUUUUGUUGGCUGUUUUGUGUGUAUUUUUUAAAACUUUUGUUUGUCAUUUGUAAAUUUUAUAAAUUUACCACAAUGCAAAGUGAUUACCUAUUUAAGGAAAUUAUUAUUGGAAACUCCGCAGAUGUUUUAGAAAGAUAUUCAUUGAAGCUGAAAAUAAUUGGAGAUUUAGAUCCAUAUACAAUUCAGUCAUCAGAAUUGGAUUUUACAGUGCAUUCCAUCAAUUAAUGCUAUUAUAGUUAGACUGGUAGAGUCUCACAGUUACUACUUUAAGCAGCAGAUGAAAGCAUACAAAAGCCUUCAGGCACAUAAAAGCCUUCACAACUGGAUUUGUUUUGAAACAUUUGAUGUUUUGAUGAUUUUUAUAUUAUUGUUGGAAAGGU
rnacentral:lncRNA from 1 species